rnacentral:lncRNA from 1 species
AUUACCGGAUAUAGUUCCCCUGUACUAUAUGCUAGGACCUUAUUGUUUAGCUACUCUGCAUGUAACAGUGUAUAUCUGUUAAUCCCAAACUGCUAAUUCAUCCUUCCUUCACCCCCUUUCCCAUUUGGUAACCAUAUAUUUGUCCUCUAUGUCUGUGAAUCUCUUUCUGUUUGUGAAUAAGUUCAUUUGUGUAUUUUAUCUUUGAAAGUAUCUAUUUGGCUGCACUGGAUCAGGUUCUUUAGUUGCAGUUUGUGAACCCUUCGUUGGGGCAUGUGGGAUCGAAUUCCCUGGCCAGAGACUGAACCUGGACCCCCAGCCGUGGGAGCCCAGAGCCUUGCCACUGGACCACCAGGGAAGCCCCUACGUGUGUCAUAGCUUAGACUCCGCAUAUAGGUGGUAUCAGAGCAACCGAAUGAGGUUUUACAGGUGAGGACACUGAGCUAUAAAAGGUGAAGUCAUUUGCCUAAGGUCNNNNNNNGGAGGAAGGCAGGGUUAGGGUUCAAACGUUCUCAGGUGCACCCCCAUUCUCCCUUCCCAAACCUCCUGAGAUGGGAAAAUUCGACUGGUGUUGAAAAGAACCCACUUCAGGCUAGAACAUGUUUCUGGCACUUUUAUCGUUCCCUCUCUACUGAAGACUUUUAUCUGUCUGUCUAGGAACGUGGGUCACAGUCAUGACCGCCACCCACUUCCCAGAUCUCUGUGAACCUGCUGGGCCAUGCAGCCCAUUUCACAGUUUUUACAGCAAAAAACCAAGGCAGAAACAAUGUCUCUCACCCUUUUGAUGAAAAACUGGAUUUCUAAGAAGACAAAUAACUCAGUGAGGGUUGCGUAACUAGAGAGAGCUGGCCCCAAACUCUGGGUCCUACAUGUUCUCUCCUGCCACUACGCAGCAACCGCUGAGGGGGUCGACCAGAUGACCUGACAGCCUUUCGUGAUACAGAUGCAGCAAUUCUGAUUGCCCUGUGGUAUGCCGCUUUCUUCUUAUUGAUCUCUAAAAAUGUAUAGAUUAUACUUCAGUCCCUGGGUCGGAAAGAUCCCCUGGACAAGGAAAUGGCUACCCACUCCAGUAUUCUUGUCUGGAAAAUUCCAUAGACAGGAGCCUGGUGGGCUAUAGUCAAUGGGGUUGCAAAGAGUUGGACAUGACUGAGCAAUUAACACACGCACACGUGCUGACUAAAGGUGGGGUUCAUGUUUCAAAUUAAGGGGAAGGCAGAACUGACCUUUCUGACUUAUAAUCUUGCCUGGCCUGUGAAAUAAAUCCAUCCCCUGAUUAAGUCUGACAGCACUGUGUGUGGUGGCUAUAACUGCAGCUUUUCUUGUUUCUCUGCCUCGCUCUAGAGACUCAAGUCCAGAAUUACGAUCUAUAUUAUGCUUUACACCAGUG